rnacentral:misc_RNA from 1 species
UCUCCGUUGGUGAACCAGCGGAGGGAUCAUUACAGGAUCGAAAGACUCCUAUAACCCCUGUGAACUUACUACAAAUACGUUGCUUCGGCGGGUGCCCCGGGUCUCCCGGGGCGUUCAGCCCGCCGGCAGCCUUCAAAUUCAGGUUCUUUGCGUUGGCAUCUCGAGUAUAUAAAAAUAAGUUAAAACUUUCAACAACGGAUCUCUUGGUUCUG